GAGAGUAUAGCUCAGUGGUAGAGUGCAUGCUUGGUGGGCAUGAGGUCCUGGGUUCAAUCCCCAGUCCCUCU
rnacentral:tRNA from 1 species